UACGGAGGAUGCAAGCGUUAUCCGGAAUGAUUGGGCGUAAAGCGUCCGCAGGUGGCUGUGUAAGUCUGCUGUUAAAGAGUCUAGCUCAACUAGAUACAAGCAGUGGAAACUACACGGCUAGAGUACGUUCGGGGCAGAGGGAAUUCCUGGUGUAGCGGUGGAAUGCGCAGAUAUCAGGAGGAACACCAAUAGCGAAGGCAGCUCGCUGGGACGUUACUGACACUGAGGCGCGAAAGCGUGGGGAGCGAACAGG
rnacentral:rRNA from 1 species